rnacentral:rRNA from 1 species
GUCUGAACCUUCGGGGAACGAUAACGGCGUCGAGCGGCGGACGGGUGAGUAAUGCCUGGGAAAUUGCCCUGAUGUGGGGGAUAACCAUUGGAAACGAUGGCUAAUACCGCAUAAUAGCUUCGGCUCAAAGAGGGGGACCUUCGGGCCUCUCGCGUCAGGAUAUGCCCAGGUGGGAUUAGCUAGUUGGUGAGGUAAUGGCUCACCAAGGCGACGAUCCCUAGCUGGUCUGAGAGGAUGAUCAGCCACACUGGAACUGAGACACGGUCCAGACUCCUACGGGAGGCAGCAGUGGGGAAUAUUGCACAAUGGGCGCAAGCCUGAUGCAGCCAUGCCGCGUGUAUGAAGAAGGCCUUCGGGUUGUAAAGUACUUUCAGCAGUGAGGAAGGCGGGUGUGUUAAUAGCACAUUCGUUUGACGUUAGCUGCAGAAGAAGCACCGGCUAACUCCGUGCCAGCAGCCGCGGUAAUACGGAGGGUGCGAGCGUUAAUCGGAAUUACUGGGCGUAAAGCGCAUGCAGGUGGUUUGUUAAGUCAGAUGUGAAAGCCCGGGGCUCAACCUCGGAAUUGCAUUUGAAACUGGCAGACUAGAGUACUGUAGAGGGGGGUAGAAUUUC